UCCACGCCCUAAACGAUGCUGACUAGUUGUUGGGAAUUUACAUUCUCAGUAACGUAGCUAACGCGUGAAGUCAGCCGCCUGGGGAGUACGGUCGCAAGAUUAAAACUCAAAGGAAUUGACGGGGACCCGCACAAGCGGUGGAUGAUGUGGAUUAAUUCGAUGCAACGCGAAAAACCUUACCUACCCUUGACAUGUCACUAACGAAGUAGAGAUACAUUAG
rnacentral:rRNA from 1 species